rnacentral:rRNA from 1 species
GACGAACGCUGGCGGCGUGCCUAAUACAUGCAAGUAGAACGCACAGUUUAUACCGUAGCUUGCUACACCAUAGACUGUGAGUUGCGAACGGGUGAGUAACGCGUAGGUAACCUGCCUGGUAGCGGGGGAUAACUAUUGGAAACGAUAGCUAAUACCGCAUAAUAUUAAUUAUUGCAUGAUAAUUAAUUGAAAGGUGCAAUUGCACCACUACCAGAUGGACCUGCGUUGUAUUAGCUAGUAGGUGAGGUAACGGCUCACCUAGGCGACGAUACAUAGCCGACCGGAGAGGGUGGUCGGCGACACUGGGACUGAGACGCGGCCGAGACUCCUACGGGAGGCAGCAGUAGGGAAUGUUCGGCAAUGGACGAAAGUCUGACCGAGCAACGCCGCGUGAGUGAAGGAGGUUUUCGGAUCGUAAAGCUCUGUUGUAAGAGAAGAACGGGUGUGAGAGUGGAAAGUUCACACUGUGACGGUAGCUUACCAGAAAGGGACGGCUAACUACGUG